GAUGAACGCUGGCGGCGUGCUUAACACAUGCAAGUCGAGCGAGAAGAUUUGAAAAGAUUCUUCGUAUGAAAUUUAAAAUGCAAAGCGGCGGACGGGUGAUUAACGCCUAGGCAACCUGCCCCAUACACAGGGAUAGCAUUUGGAAACGAAUAUUAAUACCUUAUGAAACUUAACUAGUGCAUGCUAGGUAGGUCAAAGAUUUAUCGGUAUGGGAUGGGCCUGCGUCUGAUUAGCUAGUUGGUGAGGUAUCGGCGCACCAAGGCGAUGAUCAGUAGCCGUCCAGCGAGGGUGCGCGGCCAAAUUGGAACUGAGACACGAGCCAGAAUCCUACGGGAAGGAGCGGUGGGGAAUAUUGCACAAUGGGGGAGACCCAGAUGCGGCAUCGGCGCGUAAACGAUGAUGGCUUUGGAGUAAUAAAGUUCUGUUCUAGGUUAUGAGAACUGACGGUAACCAAGGAGAAAGCCCCGGCUAACUCCGUG
rnacentral:rRNA from 1 species